GACGAACGCUGGCGGCGUGCCUAACACAUGCAAGUCGAGCGGGUGAGCGAGGGUAACGUCAAGCUUCUACCUAGCGGCGGACGGGUGAGUAACGCGUGGGCAACCUGCCUCAAGGUCUGGGAUAACAGCUCGAAAGGGCUGCUAAUACCGGAUAUGCCUAUGGCCUCGCAUGGGGCUAUGAGCAAAGGGGAAACCUGCCUUGAGAUGGGCCCGCGUCCCAUCAGCUAGUUGGUGAGGUAACAGCUCACCAAGGCGACGACGGGUAGCCGGCCUGAGAGGGUGACCGGCCACACUGGGACUGAGACACGGCCCAGACUCCUACGGGGGGCAGCAGUGGGGGAUCUUGCACAAUGGGCGAAAGCCUGAUGCAGCGACGCCGCGUGAGCGAAGAAGGCCUCGGUUGUAAGCUCUGUCUGGAGGGACGAAGGAAGUGACGGUACCUCCGGAGGAAGCCACGGCUAACUACGUGCCAGCAGCCGCGGUAAACAUACUCG
rnacentral:rRNA from 1 species